rnacentral:rRNA from 1 species
GUUAUCAAAAACAUUUUCUUUUGGUGUAAGUAAGAUAAGACCUGCCCGGUGAUUUUUAACGGCUGCGGUAUUUUGACUGUGCUAAGGUAGCAUAAUCAUUUGCUACUUAAUUGGUAGCUGGAAUGAAAGGUUAAACUAGCUUACUCAGUUUGUUGUGUUUUGUAAGAAAUUAAAGUCGAGGUAAGAAUUCUUUGAUCUGCUAGGGGACGAUAAGACCCUAGAAGCUUAACAAUAAGAGUAUUUAUUAGUUAUAAAAAUUAAUUUGUUUUACUGGGGCGGUAAAGGUAUAUGAACUAUUAGUGUAUUGAUAGAUCCUUAAAAUAAAGAUAAAACGGGAAAGUUACUCUAGGGGUAACAGUGCAAUAUUUUUGGAGAGAUCAUAUCGAUAAAAAUGUUUGCAACCUCGAUGUUGAAUUAAGAUGUCUACGUGAAGCAGCAGGUACGUGAGAGGGUUUGUUCAACCUUUAAWUUUUACACANGAUCUGAG